rnacentral:rRNA from 1 species
UACGUAGGGGGCUAGCGUUGUCCGGAAUCAUUGGGCGUAAAGCGCGUGUAGGCGGUCCGGUAAGUCCGCUGUGAAAGUCGGGGGCUCAACCCUCGGAUGCCGGUGGAUACUGUCGGGCUAGAGUACGGAAGAGGCGAGUGGAAUUCCUGGUGUAGCGGUGAAAUGCGCAGAUAUCAGGAGGAACACCGGUGGCGAAGGCGGUCUCUGGGCAGUGAACUGACGCUGAGGAGCGAAAGCGUGGGGAGCGAAACAGG